AGGUGCUCCGCGAUGACCCAGAAGACAUCUUUGGAGCAGGUAAAGCUUCCCUGGUGGGAUUCUACUAAGCUAAUGCUUCCUAUAUCUAGUAUGUUGGGUUCCUGGAAGUUGUUUGCUCUUGGAGACGCUCUGGUCGUUUGGGUUCGUGUGUCUCUUGCUGCAAGGGCUGCUAUUUAUAAGCCAUCAGGAUAGGCCAUAGGGGUGUGUCAUGUNUCCAAGUAGAAACCUGUGAAGCCUUUGGUGCUCUGCGCAUCUUGCUUGCCUCUCCUCUCAACUCAAGUACUACACAUGUUUGCAGUGUUCAACUUUUAACUUCCCUAGCAUGGCGUCGCCGCAUGGGCACGUUGGCAGCUUUGUUGUGAGCAAUUUUCAGCAUCAAAUUUACUUUCCGUAACUAAUCCUUCGUGAAAAUCAUGCGUUGAUCGCUAUAUUUUCUUUUUGGUAUUUAGUUUUGAAAUACCUGACCAUGCGUGCAUGCUACGCACCAGUACAAAAUUUAACAUUUGGACAGAGUGCUAGCUGCUUUAGGAAUUAAGAAGCGUGGAUCGAUGCAUGCCCAUGCGUACCCUGCUCACAUCAACAACGGAAGCAUCUAUCCUGCAUGGCGAUGUCUCGGCCGUGUGAUCCGGCCUGCCAUGGAUCAGCAGAGAGCUCCUCGUAAGGUGAGCGUUUCAAAAGCACGAAGCAUAGUGCAAUUGUCUCAAAAAACAAAUAACGCAUGCCUCUGAAUCUUUCAUUCUGUCGCCAUCAAUGACAGAGAAGUCUGGGGUGUUGCCCUCGUUCAAAAACGAAUUUUGCUUGUCCAUGCAUUAGUUUAGGGAAUAACAUGAUUGAUUCAUCCAUUUGAGAGGAGAAAAAGAUGCAGGGAUGUGGGCUAAGAACCUCCAUUCUUUACAUGUCGCGCAAUCUCCACCACCCGGUUGACGAACAGAUCCCAAAAGAGACGAUGGACACCCCCGGGCUCUAGGGACCGAACGAAUAUAUCUAUCUUUCCAUCUCCAAUGGUCUUGGAUAAGGAAUUGACAGAAUGCUAUGCUGCAGCUCCUUGCUUGCUCUAUGCUCACGGAGUCCUGGUGUUUGCAUCGGAUGCAUUGAGCCGGGGGGGCGGCAGGCGCAACUUGCGUUUGAUUCUUUGGACGUGUGGACCGGUCCAUCCAUCCACCGGAGAUCUCUCCCUAGGAAUCAUAUCUGCCUAAAAGCCGUAGCAAAGAUGCAGGAUUCCCCCUCAUAUUUCGAAAAACCGGAGCAAAGCUUUUCAGGAAGAUGCUAGCUCAUGUAAACUAGACUCAUUUCAUGUAUUUCUACGAGCAUUUUCCUUUAGAGUUCCCUUCUCAUACGAGACAGAUUUUGUCAGUUCAGUACUGUCUACUGUGACACGUUCAUAUGCACGGGUUAACUUCCAAAUAACGGAAUCCCAGUACAUAUGCAUACAUACAUAUACGACAUAUUCCUAUAUUUUUAAACAUGAUAGUAUCUGAUAUAAGUCGUUGUUACGAUUCGAGGAUUGCUCUGAUUAAUAAAUCAUCAAGCAACCAAUGUAGGGAUCUCUAGUCAUACAGACGGAGCCAAUUUGGAAUGUAUGUGUUGUUCCUUGGAGGGCUAGGAUAGUUUGAGCACACAGUGUUGUCUCCCUCGACUGAAAAGGCGGAUAGGUAGAUGAAAGGAGAGGGGCAUCUCAUGAUGUGCAGAAUAUAUACAUUAUCUUGCACAGAAGAACUAGCUUUCUAUCUACAUGUAUGUGUUUUUAUUCUUGGUGAAAAUUCAUUCAUGUGAAGUUGAGGCUUGGAAAUAGCCAGCCUAAAUUUACGCAACGGUCAACUUCCCUCUCUCAAUAACUGGAUCAUUUGGCUAGCACUACAAACAUCAUCAUCUUCACAAAGUAUAUUAAGCUAAGGUAAGCAGAGCAAAGUGGGAAUGCUUUUGGUGUGUGAGCCAUCAUUAGUGGGUAUAUCGUAUCUUGUUUGCCAGCUGCUUGAAUGACUGAUCCCUAUAUAUCGUUGCCAAGUAAUCUUGGAUCGGACUGGAUUCUGUCACUGUAUCAUCGGCUGGCUAGAUUCCAAAUCUUUGAGCCAAAAGCUCUGGGAUCCGGAUUCACCUCGCCGGUCAAGUGGUAGGGGACGGGAAUCGGAAUCUUGGCCAGAGUGGCCUCCCUGGCAUGGCGGGCGUCGCAAUUCUGGGGAUUGAAAGCAAGCUUUCUUUUCCCCUGAAAAGGAAAUGGUGACCGCCGGCUUUCUCCUCUUCACAAGGUACACGUGGUGCCCUGUAGAGCAAGGGUGCCGUGGUGAAUAAGGCAAAGAAGGGCAAUGUGAGCUCGUAGCUAGGUAUGUGUCAUUCGUGUGUGAUGCUAGUCUGAAUUUGUUGUACUCGAGCUGUAAAAUUUAGAUGACAAUGCGGCAGAUGCUGCCUGGAUUUGACUUGUGUGUCUAUGUGCCCACUAUAUGGUUGCUGAUAUGGUUUUAUCUUGAUGUACUUGUCCUGCCUUGUUACCAAUGAAGUUUAGUUUCAUCCUGUCCUGUUAUAGUUGUCGAGAAGUGUAAUUUGUAUGGCUGGAAACAAUAUGGAAUCGCCAUAUGUCCAUGUCUUAGCACCAUGAUCUUCUAUCAUUGUUCAACUUUGACUUGAUAUAUACAGCUUGUUGUAUUUGAUUAUACUGUACUUUGCAGUGUUUGAAAUAAUACUCACAAUUACAUUUGACAGAAUCAUGAUCGUAUCGUAGCCAAUCUGAAGGACUGUUCUUGAUUCUACCAUAAUACCACCCUAGAUUCAAUGAUGCUUAACAGUGAGUAUUGGUGGGCUCAGAUGUCAAUUAUUCUGGCAUUGGCUUCUUCUUAUGGUCUUGAACAAAGUUUAGUGACUUCUCUUUUAGGAAGGUAGUGGUGACAAGGAUUCUGUGUGCUUUCUUGACCUGUGGAGUCGAAACGGAACAUGGUGGGUGGUGGCUAGCAAAAUGUUACGGUAGAUAUCCGGGGCUAGCAAACUGAACAUGGGUAAACCAGAUAUCGGGGACGACAAAAUGCUACAGGUACAACUUCUUACAAAUAACACAAACACAUGAGUUUACAUGACAUUUUAUUAGAUGACUUGAUUCCAGGGGAUAAUGAACAACACCCAGUUCAGGAAUGUAGACGAGAAUCUACGACAACAUGGAGAUAGACUUAACCUUGGAAACAACCUAAUAAUACUUUGUGCACACAAUAGACAAUACUAGCUGAUUUCCUUCCUGUUAUUCUAACCAAUGCUAGAUUCCCUUGCUUCUUCCUAGAACAUCAGCCCAUUCUUAAGAGAUCUAGUUUGUACACCUUGUUCACUGUCCACUGGAGCUUACACUGCUUCAUCCUGAAAACAUGAGAAAACAUUUGCACUCUAAGCUUUUCUGAACCCUGAACACAAAUACAGAUGCUGCAAUAGAAAAUAAUUGUUCUUUCUUUCUUUCUUUUGUUUUGUUCUAUGUCGGCAUGAGGUUAGGAAGAUGCAUCCAAGCUUUUGCUUUGGAAGUAGGGAAAUUGUCUGAUAGUGCUAAGAUUAAACCACUAAUAAAUUGGGCCAGGUUGGCUGCAAUUAAGUAGUUUGGCUCAUAGAGUUGAUGGUGCCAGUCGUCAUGCAUGCAUACAUGCAUGGUGGUAAGUAUCUCUAAACUCUAAAGAAAAAGAAAAAUACAUAAAUACUAUGCAUUUGACAUUGGAUUCAAACAUCUACUUUUCCUAGGAAGCAGACAGCAAAUACAGCAGUAACUGCUAUGCUUAAUUAUGCUCAACUGAAAACUUGUUAACAUCAGAGCAUCCUAUGUCUGUUGAGAAUUAUACCUUUUAUUAGGUCCAGAAGCCCUGGGUCUUGUACUUGGGGAAAGGGAUGCGGCCGUG
rnacentral:lncRNA from 1 species